rnacentral:rRNA from 1 species
GACGUAGGGCGCGAGCGUUGUCCGGAUUUAUUGGGCGUAAAGAGCUCGUAGGCGGCUUGUCGCGUCGACUGUGAAAUCCCGCGGCUCAACUGCGGGUCUGCAGUCGAUACGGGCAGGCUAGAGUUCGGUAGGGGAGACUGGAAUUCCUGGUGUAGCGGUGAAAUGCGCAGAUAUCGGGAGGAACACCGAUGGCGAAGGCAGGUCUCUGGGCCACUACUGACGCUGAGAAGCGAAAGCAUGGGGAGCGAACAGG